AGCCGCUCGUACAGUUGAACAAGCAGCCACCGGCGUGCGGCCUACGUACGAAUGCAAGUAAAGCCCGUAGUUGACAACUUUUUCGACUAUUGUUGCGAAAAAUUUUCUGCAGCUACAGCUAAAAUGGCGGAGAUGUUCAGAGUGACCGUUCUUGAAAUUCCGAAAAAUGUCUAAGAAAUCCAUAUUUAGCACAUUUGGAUGUUAUACAGCACUAUAGGGUCGUGCGUUCAGUAUUAACACGACAGUUUUUUUUUAAAUGCGUAACGGCUAUUUAAAACUUGUACAAAUGAGGAACUUCCGAGACAAAUACAAUAUUUGGUUUAAA